rnacentral:rRNA from 1 species
UACGUAGGGACCGAGCGUUGUCCGGAAUCAUUGGGCGUAAAGAGCGUGUAGGCGGCCUGCUAAGUCGAACGUGAAAUCCCUGGGCUCAACCCAGGAACUGCGUCCGAUACUGGUUGGCUUGAAUCCGGGAGAGGGAUGUGGAAUUCCAGGUGUAGCGGUGAAAUGCGUAGAUAUCUGGAGGAACACCGGUGGCGAAGGCGACAUCCUGGACCGGUAUUGACGCUGAGGCGCGAAAGCCAGGGGAGCAAACGGG